UGAGCUGUCAGCACAGAGCCCGACGUGGGGCUCAAACUCACAAAUCCUGAGAUCAUGACCUGAGCCAAAGUGGGACACUUAAGUGACUGAGCUACCAAGUCGCCCCACCCCCUACUGUUUCCUUUUUGAGGGCCAGGCAGGGCAGAAGUCAAUGACAUGAUACCCAUUCCUUCCGCACCACCAAGGAGGAGUUGGGUGUAAGCAUGUGACUCUUUCCAGGUCCUCAAAGCCCAUGCGUUCUGCCCCAGAGCCCCUGACUCCUGCUUGGCCCUCCUUCCUCCCAGGUUAUGGAGGCAACCAGCCUUCCAUCCACGUUGGGGUCAUGGCUGGGCCACCAAGGGCUCAAAAUCUGGCUGUCCACAUGCUUCCCUGCGGUGGCUGGGAACAGCCGUGCUCCAGUAAAGGUCAGCAUGAGCAGCUUCUCUAAACAGGAUUCUCAUCCACUGUGAUCAGGGCCUGAGCUAAAACAUGACAGGGGAGAGGGGGACACAGGAGAUGUGGUGCCGUUUCCUGGACAGGGCUGCACAGAGCAGAAGGCCGAGGGCUGCUAAUCUCUGGAUUCUGGAUGGUAGGUGAGCAGUUUAAAACACCACAGCCUUCUCUUAGAUCAAAAGAGAAACCUAUAUCUUCACCCAGCCUUCCUCUGAUAUGAAGAGAUGGCAAUUAUUAUUUGAAGGCACAAUUAUCUACCUAUGAGUCUGAUGGAAAUGAUUUCAUCCAUCUUCGUCCCUAAAGCACUUUUCAUUGAAAUUACCCAUAUAGAGGCAGGAAAUUUAUACCAGAUGUGUAGCUCCCUCUAGAUGCACAUUCUGACCUUGUCCCAUUUGUGUCCUCAAAGACAUUACUGACAAGAAAAAUAAGCUCUCAACAUCAAGAUGUUGACGUUAGAGAAUGUGGUAUAAAUGGAAUUUCAUAUGUUCUCAAUUAGAAAUAAUUUUUGAUGGUGAAGGAGAAAUUAAAAAUUUUGUCAUUUUUAAUUGAAAUAUAGGAGACUCACCAUGUUGUAUCAGUUUCAGGCAUAUAUCAUGGUGAUUCCGUGUGUAUACAUUACGCUCUCCAGGUACCUAAGGGUAGCUAUAUUGCGAAAGCAUGCAACGCUUUCUUACAGGAUUGACGCUAUUCUAUGGGCUGUACCUUGGAUCCCAAUGAGUUAUUCAUUCCAUAGCUGGAAGCCUGUAUCUCUUUCUCAGAGGUGUCAACUUUUUUAUUUAACCCAAGUAUUAUGGUGCUAAACACCAUAAUCUGUAGGUCAGCAGGUGUCUAUUUCUGUGAAUGCUGCUUAAAGCAUUACACAUGAUAUCAUUACGUCAAUAAAUUCGGUUUCAUUCUUCACUCAGUAAAAAGGAGAAGGAAAAGGUUUCUUCGUGUCCCAAGCAAGCCCUUCGGUAAGACCCUUCCCGAUCAGGAGAACAGGCUUCACUGGACCAGCUGCACUCUCAGUACUUCCAGCUGAGCAGCCAUGGCCUUGAGCAUUGCGGAAUUCCCAUGGCGGCCGGCAGAGGGCGCGCACGCACCACGCCCAGGGAGGGGCCGGGCCUCUGCGUGGGCAGUGAUGGCCUGAGAAGGCGCCCACUAACCAGGCUUUUCUGAUCCAGGGCGCCUCGGGGCUGGGAAGGCUUCCUUGCUUCUGAGGACCCAGUGCCUCUGAGUGUGGGCAAAGAGCCAGAGCUGCGUUUCCAGCAGGUUCCGUCCCCGGGCCUGGGGGAGACCCUGGAGGCUUCGCAGCCCCUUGGCGUCUCCUAGGUGGUGGGGCUGAGUCCCGAGGCGGGGGAGGCAGGGCCUGGGCGGCUUCCCCGGAAGCGCGGGUGGUCGGUUGGCGGCACAGUCCCUCGCUUUUUCUGGGCUGUUCCGUGGUUUGUUCCUCAUUUCCCCUGCCGGUAUUUCCCUGGAGGAUCCGUGGAUUCAUGGGAUCCCGUGACGCCAUGUCAGAGAGGCUGGGGUUGGUUUGUUCCAGGUCAGGCCUCUUUCGGGGGAGAAAGCCUGACCCAAAUUCGGAGGAACAGGAGGCGCAUUCAGUUGGGAAGUGAAGCCGCCAAAUGUUGACUCUCAGGACCUUCUAGAAGAAGGAGCUGAGACCCACUCUCCGAGUCCUGCCGGAACCAGAGCGAGAGAUGAAAACACAAUGUGCCCUCCACAUCGCACAUGCUUUUAUGAACUUUCAGUGGGGAUUUUUUCCCAACAAUGUUGUAGUCGUUGGAAACAACUGGAAACCUGACAGGUAUGUUGUGUCGGGAACCGCCCGUUUCUUGAAUGUUCAAUAUUAUUCCUGCAACAGAAUUUGUUACAGUUAUCCUCUCUUCUCUUCUUUGGAAGGAAUCUCAUCAAUAAUAUCUUAAAAACAUCCUCGUUACCUUAUCCCCUUUUCAGUUGAGAUUUGGCAUGUUUUCUGAUUUCUCAUGAACUCGUGAACAUCUGAAAUACUUUUAAAUUGAUUGCAGUUUUACUAAAAGCAGAUUCACGGCGUCCCUCCCAGACUGCUCAUGGUCAAAGAACAUACCAAGGCCACUUCUCAGUAUGGUCAGAGAUUCACAGACCUGCCUGAGUUUUACAUUCACCACACAUACUUUCAAGGCUCCUUUCUGUCCCUGUAAGAAAGAAGACAGACCUUCUGAUGCGCAG